UACGUAGGGGCCUAGCGUUGUCCGGAUUUAUUGGGCGUAAAGAGCUCGUAGGCGGCCCUCUCAGUCGGAUGUGAAAUCCCCAGGCUUAACCUGGGAACGGCAUCCGAUACUGGAGGGCUUGAAUUCGGGAGAGGGAUGCAGAAUUCCAGGUGUAGCGGUGAAAUGCGUAGAUACCUGGAGGAAUACCGGUGGCGAAGGCGGCAUCCUGGACCGAGAUUGACGCUGAGGAGCGAAAGCUAGGGGAGCAAACGGGG
rnacentral:rRNA from 1 species